CUCAUAAUCAACAUUUAGGAAUUACAGUCAUUUUUACAUCAUCAUUAUAGCUUCAAACACAGUAAAAUACGGUGGACUUAAAUGUAUCACAUGACAGCGUCCUUUAGCGUUUCAUGGCAUCAAGUCAGACUUUUUUACUUCUCUUUUUCUUCUCCAGAGAUCAGCACUCUGCAAAAGAUCAUCUCCUUGCUGGUGGAGAUCAAAGAAGAGCAACAGAAGCAGUGGGUGGUGCUGAGGGACAUCCAAGCCCGACUGCAGGGUCAGACUGCUGACGACGAAGAGGAGGUGGAGGCACUGGACAUGGAGCUCCCUCUGAGGACCCUGAAGGAGCUGGAUGAGAUGGAGACCCAGCUGGAGGACCCAGCAGUCCAGAAGAGAAUGGUUGGUGUUGGCUCUGAGCUGAACUGGGUGGGCCAAGAGGAGCUUCAGGAACACUCGCCUCCAGGGGGUGCUCUUCCGUGCUCUGAAGCGAACUCCAGUAGGUAAGGAGGCUACCCACCACCAAUAUGCUGAUGUGGUGAAACGAUGGCUAUGCUUUGUGCCGUUCAGAAAGGGAGGGAGUGGCCGCCGCCGCUGGAAGCCUUCCGCGGACAUUUCACAUUCUGAGGAAACAGACAUUUUCAACCAAAGUUCAACACUCUGAUGUUUGUCUAACCAAAAUACUUGAACACAACAGUUUUAAUCCAG
ensembl:lncRNA